GCCCUUGUGGCGCAAUCGGUAGCGCGUAAGACUUCUAAUCUUAAGGCUGUCGGUUACCCCCACCAGGGGCU
rfam:Aspergillus niger ATCC 1015, whole genome shotgun sequence.